GACUGCCAGGGAGCACACCGGCUCCUUAUUUCUUUCUUGACCUUGUUGGGAGUGAGAAUUGUUAAAAUAAAGCACUUAAAAACGGUGAAGUUUGUUUGCUCCUUCUUCUUACAAAUAGAAGCCAAUUUGUAACGUUGUGUACAGGUGGUCAUAUAUAAAUGUUAUACCAUCACCGAAGGAGACCUUGCAGCAAGGACAACACAAAUACGGAGCAACAAUAAUCACCUGUGCUGGCUGCAGCAAUCGACCACAGGUGAGUGAGAUCCCCAAAUCAGGUCUCCCAUCAAGGAAAGGAGAGGUCAUUGCUCGGUUUGCUCUCCAAAGGACGAGACCUGUUCCACCUUUCUUUGCCGAGUGCGUCCGCAUGAAGAACCACUUGACAAAUUAAGA